AUCAAAGGAAAUUGUAAUGAUAUCGAAUGUUAAUUAAUUACUAUUUAAAAAAUGAAAGUGAUGGGGAAAAAAGCUGAUCAUAUUUUUUUAACCCUGUCUGUUUAGCUUGACGUCUGAUGUAUAUAUAUAUAUAUAGCCAUGCCCUGAUGUGGGGGCUGAGGGGUGCGUCGUCAUGGUCGGGACAUAGAAGGGGGUGCGCGGCUAAAUACGUUUGGGAAUCACUGUCAUAGAUACAAAAGUGUGGGUUUUAAAACUGAUGAAAGGCUUCAUUAGUUGAUGAUCACCCCAUCAAUAAUAAUAAAUACAAUUAAUAAAUACAUAAAUGUUCAGUCAGAGUUUCUAGUUUUCUUUGCCUACUCGGAUUCUCUGGUAAAACCUCGAUCUCCUGUGUGAGAUGAGUUCAACUUUAACUUUAGUUUGAAAUGGCAUCUUUGGUCAGCUGUUUUCCGCACCACUUCUACAUUUUCUAUUAUAAUUUGUGUCUACUUCUGCAGGUUUUUCUCUCAACAAAUCAAAAUUCCCUUAUUGCAGUUACUGAAAAGAGCUGAAUGUGGUUGACUUUCCCCUCAGGACACGUUGGAGAAGCGUCUAGGAUCUUUACAGAAGCAGAGAGAAGCAGUAAAAUACAGACUGAAGGCACUUUCAGCUCGUCAGUCAGAAAUCACUAAAAAGUCCUGGGAGAUCAGAGAGAGCAUCAUACAGAAGUACCAGGAGAUCCAGAGCGUCCUAAAGGAGGACCUGAGGAUUACUUUGUCCCAUCUGGAGAUGGAAGAACGAGCUGCUGUCUCGGCUUUGGACGUGCUCAUGGAGAGGAACUGCUGUCUGAUCCAGGAACUAGAGCAGGACCUCGCCAGGUUCUCGUUAGCUCUGAACCAAGCAGACACAGAACCGGACACAAUGGUGAAGUCCUCUGAAAUAAUGUCAAACACUUAAAUACAAUCUGUAAUUUGGAUUUUCUGCUGUUCUUCAGUCUUUCUUCUCACUUCCUGAGCAGGAUGAGAUGGACAUGGUGGACAGGUACAGAUUAGUGAUAAAGU
rnacentral:lncRNA from 1 species